GAAUCCCCAGCUGCCUCCAACAGGAGAGGCUGCGGCUAGAGGGCCCAGGGCUGGGACGGGACCUUCGCGGGGGUCUGGUUCCCAGGGUCGCGGAGAAAUGGGAUGCAGACGCUGGAAAUGGGAAGGAGGACAUGGCAACCACAGAGAGAGCAGCCCUUUUCUUUCCCCCUUGGAGACUUCCAGAGGAAGUGACUACUAUGACAGGAACCUGGCACUGUUUGAGGUAGCUGAGGAGCCAUUUUGGGCCACAGGAAGAGCUGGACAUCCGCCCAAAGGUAUCGUCUCUUCUGGGAAAGCUCGUCAGCUACACCAACCUCACCCAGGGCGCCAAAGAGCAUGAGGAGGCCGAGAGUGGGGAGGGCACCCGCCGGAGGGCAGCCGAGGCACCCAGCAUGGGCACCCUCAUGGGGGUGUACCUGCCCUGCCUGCAGAAUAUCUUUGGGGUUAUCCUCUUCCUGCGGCUGACCUGGAUGGUGGGCACAGCAGGUGUGCUACAGGCCCUCCUCAUCGUGCUUAUCUGCUGCUGUUGUACCCUGCUGACGGCCAUCUCCAUGAGUGCCAUUGCCACCAACGGUGUGGUUCCAGCUGGGGGCUCCUAUUUCAUGAUCUCUCGUUCACUGGGGCCAGAAUUUGGAGGUGCUGUGGGCCUGUGCUUCUACCUGGGAACAACAUUCGCAGCAGCCAUGUACAUCCUGGGGGCCAUCGAGAUCUUGCUGGGUAAGCAGCCACAGAACCCUGCUGGAGGUCGGUGCUCCCUCCACGAGCCCCAUGGGAGCUCUGUCAGCCUCAGCUUCUCAUUCCCCAGUGAACUGCCGUACUAGUGGGAGAAGAGACCUACAUUGCCCCACCAGCUGCCAUUUUUUACCCAUCGGGUGCUCAUGACACGUCGAAUGCCACUUUGAACAAUAUGCGUGUGUAUGGGACCAUUUUCCUGACCUUCAUGACCCUGGUGGUGUUUGUGGGGGUCAAGUAUGUGAACAAAUUUGCCUCGCUCUUCCUGGCCUGUGUGAUCAUCU
rnacentral:sRNA from 1 species